rnacentral:tRNA from 1 species
GCCUCUGUAGCUCAGCGGUAGAGCGCGUGCUUGGUAAGCACGAGGUCGCGAGUUCAAUUCUCGCCAGAGGCU